rnacentral:rRNA from 1 species
GACGAACCGAGCGAACGUUAUUCGGAAUCACUGGGCUUAAAGGGCGCGUAGGCGGACUGUCAAGUCAGGGGUGAAAGCCCGCGGCUCAACCGCGGAAGUGCCUUUGAUACUGGCGGUCUCGAGGGAGGUAGGGGCGUGCGGAACUUCCGGUGGAGCGGUGAAAUGCGUAGAUAUCGGAAGGAACACCGGUGGCGAAAGCGGCGCGCUGGACCUCUUCUGACGCUGAGGCGCGAAGGCGUGGGGAGCGAACGGG